AAGCUUGCAAGUAACCAUAACAAUGAUUAAGAGAGAGAAGAGGAGAGAUGUAUUAGGAGGAAGUAUACUUACAUAUGAUAUAUCUAUAUAAUUUUCUAACAACUAAAAAAAUCUAUUUUCUUUCUCUUUCAUUUAUUACUUCCAAGCUAGCUAAAAAAAAAAGAGAGAGAGACAGAAAGGAAUGAGUAUACGGCUGCUACUUAAAAGGAGACGGGAGAAGAAAGUUCAUGCUACUUCACUUCAUAAGCUACCUUAGAAGAAGGAGAAUAUCCACCUAAAUAAAAGGUAUAAAAAAUCUAACUAUAAAUUAGUUAAUUAAUUUUGUUUUGUUUGAUUUUGGUGAAAUAAUGGGUUAGUGUUCUUGAAGUUUAAAAAUCUUGAUUUUCAUGUUAAUGAGUGUUUCAAGUAUGGAUUUAACCAUUUUGGGUGUUUAAAUGUUGAUAAAAAGGAAGAAAAGAAAAAUAGGUUUUGUAGUUUAAAAAACCCUAAUCUUUCUCUAAAUUAAAAAUCCACCAUUUGAAAUCUACACCUUCUUUUUGCGAUCUGUCAAAGAGGAGUGCUAGAUAUGUAAGUUAACUGCUAAACCCAAGUGGUAGCACUCAAAAUUGUUUAUUUAACAAGCCUUGGCAGCCAUUUUAAUACAAACAGUCCAAAUUUUUCAAAAAGGGGAAAUAGGCUAUUUUGGAUCAGUUCAUCCCAGGGGCAGUUUUGUCAUUUUUCUUAACUUUAAAAAUUUGGUAGGGUAGUAUGAUGAGUUAUCUAGAUCCUGUCCAAAGAUGGUUAUUUUUGGAUGUAUAGAAUGAGAGUUAUGGAUUUUACAAGGAAUGACUAUUUUAAAAGUAAACCAAAAUAACUUUUUUCGUGUAACUCCUAAAAUUGUGAAAUUUUUACUGGAGGUACAUAUACAUAACAGGAACAUCUCCUGUAAAUUUUGUAAUUUUUGGACUUAAAAACUGUUCAUGAUAAUUGUUGAAGAUCUGACUAUUUUGGUCUUUUUAAAAAUAGUAAAUGAAAACCUAAAAUUUCAAAAAAAUUAUAUGUUCAUCUUGAUACCAUGUACUGAUAUUUUCCAGAAAAUAAGAGUUUUCAGAACAAUUUUAGUAUUUUUCAUGGAUGUGUUUGAGUUAUGAAUAAAUAAGAAUAAUAAGUUAUGUGAUGUCAUAAAUGGAAAAAAGUAAUUUUAUGACUUAAAACCCUAAAUAUGAUGUUUCCAGAUUUUUGGAGGGUAUUUUGGACGUCAUUUUUGAUGAGAUUUUAUAUUUAUGGCAUAUUAGGGUUGUUAAAUAAAGAAAUUAGUAAAGCGUAAACAAUCAGAAUAAAUUGUUUAUUAGUAUAAUAAAUGAUUUAAAUAUUAUUAAGAGAUUAAUAAUAUUAGAUUAUGAUAUUAUUAAGUAAUUAAUAAUAUUUAGAUGAGAAUUAAAUUAAAAUAUUAUUAAAUGAUUAAUAAAUAAUAAUUUAAAAUAUUAUUAAAUGAUUAAUAAUAUUAGAUUAAAGUUAAAUAAUAAUAUUAUUAAAUGAUUAAUAAUAUUAUUACUUGAUUAAAAUAUUAUUAAAUGGUUGAUAAUAUUUAUGAAUGGUUAAGAUAUUAAAUAUUGAUUUAAAUAUUAUUAAUUGAUUAAUAAUAUUAGUAAUUGGUUAAGAUGUGAUUAAUAUACGGAAUAUUAUUAAGUGAUUAAUAAUAUUAUCAAGUGACUAAAAUAUUAUUAAAUAAUUACUAAUAUUAAUAAGGGAUUAAAAUAUUAUUAAAUGGUUAAUAAUAUUAGAAAGUGAAUAAAAUAUUAUUAAAUAAUUAAUGAUAUUAGACAAUAGUUUAAGACAAUGGUUAUAUGGUAAUAGUAUUACCAAAGAAUGAUAAUAUUCCUAAUGAGUAAGGUAUUAUUGAAUGUUUGAUUACAUGUUAGAUAAUUUAUUACAAGAAUAGUAGUGUUAUGAGUUAUAAUAUGUUAUUCUAAUUGAGAGAUCAAUAUUAUUAAUGAUAGGUCUUUCAAAUUGUGUAGCAGUAGUCAAUGACCAAGGAAAGUUUUCUAACUCAAACUUGAGUUAUUAUUUUCCAAGCAUGUUAGUGUGUAAUUAUUGAUGAUUAUUCCAUAUCUAAGAUUGUCAUUGAAUAUUCGUAUGUAUUGCAAUUUCUUUAACUCAAAUCCGAAUUAUUAUUUACCAUCAUGUUAAGUGGGUAAUUAUUACUGAUUAUACCACAUCUAAGAUUAUUAUUGAUUAUUCGUAAUUAGUGCAAGUUCAUUAACUCAAAUUUAGUUUUAAAAUUUCAAAAGUGUGACUGGUGAAUAACUAUUGUUGGUUAUUCACAUCUAUAAAUAUUAUUGUUGAUUGCAAAUAGUGCAAUUGAUUUCUGUCUAUUAUUGAACUGUUUAUGACUUAUGUCUCAGCUAAUUGUUUUGGCGAGACUAAUGAUUGUUGAAACUUGAUACGUUCUAGUAUUUGAACUAAGUUGUUAUUAAAAGAUCAAUGCUAAUUAUUUCGGCCAGAUCAAUAUAGAUAUUAUGUUGAAAUCUUUAGCAUUUCUUUAAAUUCAAGCCAUAUUAUUGUGGUACGAACUCUUGAUGUAAGACUGAGAUGAACAACCCUUAUAUAAAAGGGACUUUAGGGUCGGACAUCCGGCUAUUGUGCUAUUUUUGAGUAUCAUGUAUAAUAUAGGGUACAAUGAAGCUGAUCACUUCAUGUGCUUGCAGAGGAGUAUGAUUUAAUCUUUAUGGUUGUAACGCCCGAGAAAAUCGAAUUUUUAUGACUAUUAAAUUUUUAUUUGAUUAUGUGAAUUAAAUGAAUUUAAUUGAUUGUUAUGUGAGUAAGCUAUGUGAAGGUCGUUCUAUGACCUAGAAUGUGCUAACGUGGUUAGUAUUCUGGCUUCGUGCUAGAAUUAUUUGUUUGGAAUUUCCAAGACAAAAAAAACUGUUUUAUAAGAAAUUUCUAUAUAAAUACUAUUCAUCCGUUUCUGUUCGGGAAAUUAUUUUGAAAUUCCGAGAAACACGUAAUGAUGGAAUAUCGUGAUAAGAUGGAAUAUCUGAUAAUAUUUCAUUUAUGACAAAUGUAGUUUUCGCCUGCAGACUUAAAACCUAAGGAUUGAGUAUAUUGAUUUCCAAGAAGGAAAUGAUAUGCGUAGAAGAAAUUGUGUUAAGGUUAAUGCGAGUGUUAUACAAGUAUGAUACUAUUUAGUAUCUAUGUAUAAUACGUUGAGUAAAUACGAAGUACAAUACGAUUAUUGUACGUGUAGUAUACAGAAAGAAUACGUGAAUUAUACGUGUAGAAUACGAUUCGUAUUAUAGGAUUAAGAUUAAGUCUUAAUGAAUAAGUCAUUUGAGUUGGAUUUCUAUUAGUCCAAUUAUUAAAUGACCAAGCCCAAGGAGAUUUUUGAGUUGAGCCAAAGUCAAGGCCCAAUGUUUAUUUAGUUAAGCCCAAUUCAUUUAAACCGAACCGUGGAUCGAUCCAGUGGGUCACCGAAUGGGUAAAACCCAUGGGGCAACCCAUGGAAUGUCACUUUGCAAGUGGUGGGCCGGCUACUUGGAGUGGAAGCCAAGCAUAAGGCUUGGUCACCAAGUAUUUUACUUGGUGACCAAGAGUGAAUAGUAAGGAGGUGAUGGUUCAUUGUCCAAAUUACCCUCCAUUCUCAUUUCCUAUAAAUAGAAAGCUAGGUUGAUUCAUUUUGGAGUUUUGAAAUUUGCCAACCUAGAUUAUUUGAGAGAGAAAGAGAGCUAGACUUAUAAAACAUACACUUUGGAAGCUUGAUCUUCUAGUUUUCGAAGAGAGUUUCACAAGGAUUCUUAAGGUAUAAUCCUUACCUUUCAUCUCCAUCUCUUUUUGAUUUUUCUUUUAUCUUGAAGAAUCAUAGAUGGGUAGUAUAUGUCUUGUAUAGGAGAUUAAUGAUGGCUUAUCAUAGAUUCAAUCUCUACAAGUCAUGAGAUUAUAUAAAUCAUAAGGUUUAAUACAGUUUUGAACCAUGAAAAUAUUGUUUGUUGAGAUUGAUCGUUUAUAAACGAUUGAACUCCAUCAAUACGUUAAUAUUUGCACCUUGUUUGGUUAGGAUGUAGAUAUGAAAUCCAUGGAGUAUUCCAUGUGAUUGGCUUAGAGAACCCUAGUAACGAAGUUAUGGCGAAUUUUAUGUAAUUAGACGUUAAACGUCGAAAACGUUGAAAUCUGGAUUAGAGGUUAAAAGUUACCAUGAGACUUGAAAACGUUGGUUUUCAAUGUCAACACGUGAGAUAGGGUGAUUAAGAGUUGUGGGUUUGAGAAUCGUCGGAUUCUGACUUAAAACAAAGAAAACAAGCAUUGAACGCUCUUUAACGUUUACGAACGUCUAAAAAUGAACUCAAUAGUGAAUUUUGAGUUAUCGGAUUCGAAAGUUUCAAAUUCUUAUAUGAAUGCGUAGAUUAUGUUAUUUAGGACGUGUAAACUUUUGAACGGACAAAAUUGGGCUUAUAACGAAGAAGUUAUGGCCCCGGGAAUUUCACAAAGUUUUUCAAAAUUUGUUGGAAUCUGGUACUGAGGUCUGGCGCCGCGGCGCCAGACAUAGUGUUAAAUGUCGUGCCGCAGCACCGACACAGUAAACUUGAGUACUACUAAAUGGCGCUGCAGUGCCACUGUUUCGCGUCACAGCGCCGCGACCGAGGCCCAGACACUGCUAACUGGCACCGCAGCACCAGUCUAGUACUACAUAGGCCGCGCUGUAGCACGAGUUCAAGAAUGUUGUUAGUGACUUAGGUUUUGAACUUCAUUUGUUCAUGAACCUAAAGGGGUAAUGUUUGUACACUUCAUAAGUGUAUUAAAGCUAUUCCUAUACUACCUAUACUAAGGUAUAUGGUAUUGAACUUAGGAGCUGAAUGCAUGUUAAUGAGUUAUGAGUGAUGAACAACGUUGGUACCUCGCCGACAAUGUUAGAGUCCGAUUAAUAACUAAGUUGGUUAAUAAGCCGGGAUGAAGGGUAAAAAGUCAAGUUGACUUUAUUAUUGAUAUUAAGUUAACUAAGACAUAUAAGAGAAAGAAGCUUGUAGAAACAAUGUGAACAUUUGUUUGAUAGCUAAUUAAAGUGUGCUAAUGUGAAUAUAUCAUGUAGAUUCUGUAAAGGCUGUGGUCAGUCGAUUAAAUUAUUUGAAGAUGCUGAAAGGCAAGUUUUCUUAACGCUUGUCUAACUUCCAUGUUAGCCAAGUUUUAUGUGAUUCGUUGAACUGGAUUGCAAGACUUGUUUUAAAGAAAGGGUCGAUCCCAGAUUUUAAUUUGGCUAGGCUAUUCGUAAUAUAUAGAUUGAUUAUGAUUCAUAUCUUUCUAUAUAGAAAUGUUCAACGCUAUCAUAUGCCAAGUGAUUGGUACGGAUGUGAAGGUAAGGUUUGUCUAUGAACAAACAAAAGUAUUUUUCAUCGAUUAUUCGAUGGGCACACGAGUUUGCCAAAAAAUAUUAAACGUAAAUACGUUUAAUGAAUGAGUGUUGAUCAACAUAGAGUACUAUAGGCUGAUCACCUAGAAGUGCUCGUAAGUUAUCUGAUGAACGGCCUUAGUGCUGUGGACUCCUUUUCAAGUAUGAAAAUUGAAAGUUAUUGUUCAUGGUCUAUCGACCGGUUCAGAAUUCCUAAUCUAUUCUAUACUUUGGGAAUUGAUGUUAUGAACUAUUAAAGUAUUAUUGAUUCAUAAUACUUCAUAACUAUUGUUCGGUUAUGUCGAAAUUGUUAUAUAAUUCACGAAUGUGGUAUUAUUGUUAUCAUUGAUUAAACUUGCUGAGCUGUCAUGCUCACUUCUUGCAUGAAUUAUAUAACUGCAGUUAAGGAUGAACAUACUAUGAAUGUCAAGAGAGAUAAGGGCAAAGCUAAGAUGGAUGCUUAGACAUUGUGUAAUAGUUUAGUAAGUUUGUAUGUAUUAUACAUUAUGAACAAUGAACGAUGUAACCGGUUUAUGAACCUGGAAAGUAUUUAUACUUUGAUUGUAAUAAGAAGAUAGUAAUUACAUUCAUUUUGUUUUAUUUCAAUGGAAUGAUUGUAUGGAUGUUAGUACAGUGGAGCACCAUAUGUCGAGUUGAAAGAUACCCGAAUUUGGGGGCGUCACAGGUUGGUAUCAAAGCCUUAGGUUAUAAAACUUAAGGGGGGGAAAAACUUAGGCUAAUAAUCUCGUAAGGAAGGUAAAGUCCGAGGAAUGAAAUUCAAGUCCAUUGAAUUAAUAAGGUAUUGAGAUAACUCAGUAUCGAAAGGAUUAAAAGAUGGAAAUUAAUCUUAAAGAUAUUAAAUGUGAUUUAUGCUUAUACUAUUGUGUAUUAUGUACUAAUCAACGUGUUAUGUGUUUUUAGAUGUCAACCGAUAGCUUGAUGUUUAGAAACAUGGAAAUGAUAAGUGAGGAUUCAGUGAAUCAAGUUGAGAUAGUACCAAUGCCAGUGGCGGAGGUACCAAUAGUUGUACUAGAUGACUCAGACAUUGAGGAGUACAUCUCUGAGGAGGAAUACUCUGAGGAGAAUAUGGGUUUAGCAUCAUACCUUAACGAGAUGCUAGACGUGGAGGAGGAAAUGGAGGUGACAUCGGUUAAUACAAUGGUGCCUACUCAGGAGCCGACACCUCCGGAUGCAAUGAGAGCAUUGUAUCUGUCUGUGUUGGAUAGGAAUGUGCAUCUGCGCACAGUAGUAGAGACUCAGAUUGAAGAGAUAACUGCCCUUUAUGAGGCGAAAGAAUCUGCAGAGGCAGACUUUGAGUCAGAGCACGAUGAGAAAGUGCUUAUGACUGAUAAGGCUCGUGACUAUAAGGAUGAGGUCCUUGAGCUACAAAAGAAACUGGUUGAGAAAGACCAGAAGAUAGCUAGGAUGUCAUACAUCCACGAAUGCGCUCAUGAGGAUUUCAAGCUGAAAAUUGCUUGUUAUUCUAUUGAGUCAGGGUAGACUCGACAUACCAUAAGUUGAGAUAUAGUGUCGAUUCUGGCAAAUCAGAAAUAUGAGAAUGUCGUUCGACAGUGUUAGUAGAUCGUUAGAUCUUUUUGUAUAUGGCGGUAGUGACGUAAAGCCCUCUUUUGUAUAAUUAAAGGGUAGUCUUUUUGUAAAUCCCAAUUUUUGUAGAAGGCAAUCGCGGGAUAGUAUGUAAUAGCUUUUGGCUAAGGGAACAUGAUGUAAAUAGUUUUGACUAUGAAAGCAUAUUUAUAUAAUGAAGUUUUUAUUAAAUGUGCUUGUUGUGGUAUGAAUGGUUGUUAUUAAUUGAGAAUGAUAACCGAGCUGUUAAAUAUAUAAUAACGAAGCUUUAUUUAUUUAAUUAGAAUUAUGCCGCCGAGAAGGAGACAACGUAACUAAGAGGCCGAAUCUCAUAAUGAGAAUCAGGGGGUCCUAAUAACCCUAUGCAAGAGUUCUUUAAUUUAUUAACGGCUGCAUUUAACCAAGUGGAGGGUGGGAUUCCUGUAGCUCCUGGGGUAGCAAGAACAACUACCUUUAAGGACUUUUAAAGUGUGGUUCCUCCCAAGUUCCGAGGAACGAUGGACCCAUUAGAAGCCCAGACGUGGGUAGAGAGAUUGAGAAGGCGUUUGUGAUAACAAACGUAAGUGAGGUGCAAAAGACUUCAUUUGCGACUUACAUGAUGAAGGGGGAAGCCAACUACUGGUGGGAGGCUCACCAGGGUGGCACUAGGACAGAGGCUGUUACGUUGGAACAGUUUAAGAAGGUCUUCUUCGAAAACUAUUUCCCUACUAGCAUGCAGGGUAGGAUGGAAAUUAAGUUCCUAGAACUUAAGUAGGGGGAUAUGACGGUUCCCCAGUAUGCCGCCAAGUUUAACGAAUUGGCGAGAUUUGCUCAACACCAGGUGGAUAUAGAGGAGAGAAAGGGGCGCAGGUUUGAGCAGGGCUUAAAACCCUGGCUCUAUAGUAGGAUAUCAGUUUUCCAGAGUGCUUUCUACGGGACCAUUCUGGAAAAGGCGAUAAUAGUUGAAGGUGGUGGUGAGGCAUUGUCUUAGUACCAUAAAGAGUGAAAGAUCAAGAACAAGUUAGAGGAGGUAGUAAGGCCGAAGUUGCAAGCGGAAGUGGUAACUUGCCAAAGAGAAUGAAUUUUAACCCUGGGAAUACCGGGGUAAAGCAGGGAGAUCCCAAAUGGAGGAUGAAAGCAUGUAAGACACGCGGAAAUCCUCACAUUGGAGUCUGUUUAAAGGGGAAAGCAGUAUGCUACAACUGUGGGCAGGAGGGGCAUUUGUCACCCAACUGUCCUAACCCUAAGAAGAACCAGGGAUGUUUUGUCUGUGGGUCAGUGGAUCACAUGGCAAGAAAUUGCCCGAAGAAGGGUUUAGAGGGGAAUAAGAGUUAUGGUAGGUAAAUUAGCCAUUACUGGACCAACACCAUCGGUGGGUAGACCCUCAGUUCGUACGUUUAAUAUGACUGUCCAAGAUGCGGUUGCAUCAACGGAUGUGGUAGCAGGUAUCAUUCCGGUCAAUAAGAUAAAUACUUAUGUGCUAUUUAACUCGAGUGCUACUUGUUCUUUUAUAACAUAUGAAUUUGCUAAGCGAUUAGGUUUAAUCCCUGAGAAGUUACCUAUACCUUUAGACGUUAAGGUAGAAAAUGAAAAGAUAAUCCCCAUUGAACAUAUUCAUAAGGAUUGUUGCGUAGAAAUUAGAGGAAAUAAGUUAUCGGUAGAUUUGGUACCGAUAAAAUUUAUAGUUAAAAGAAUUUGAUGUAAUUUUUGGUAUGGAUUGGUUGAUUAACCAUAAGGAGAUAAUAGAUUACCAUAAGAAAAGUGUAAACCUUCGGCUUUCUAGGAAAACCAAGGUAGUGUUCUUCGGUAGUAAAUCACCGAGACGCUCUUGUUGUCUGUCUAUAACACAAGCUAGGAAGAUGUUGAGAAAAGGGUGUGUAGGUUAUCUAUGUCAUGUUGUGGAUACCCAAAGAGUGGGAACAUCCUUGGAACAGAUACCUAUAGUGCAAAAGUUCGCGGAUGUAUUUUCGGAGGAUUUACCGGGUAUUCCACCGGACAGGGAGGUAUAGUUUGUAAUUGAUCUGUUACCGGGAACGGCACCAGUUUCAAGGGCACCAUAUCGGAUGGCGCCAGUUGAGAUGAAGGAGUUAAUGGUUUAAUUACAAGAACUAUUAGAUAGGAAGUACAUUCAACCAAGUGUGUCUCCUUGGGGAGCACCAGUGUUUUUUGUAAAGAAGAAGGAUGGGUCGUUAAGACUUUGUAUUGACUAUCGAGAGUUGAACAAGUUGACGAUUAAGAAUAAAUAACUGUUGCCCAGGAACGAUGAUCUAUUUGAUCAGUUGAAAGGGGAAAAGUAUUUUUCUAAGAUAGAUUUGCGCACGGGGUAUCAUCAGUUAAAGGUGAGGAAGGAGGAUGUACCUAAUACGGUGUUCAGAACUCGUUAUGGUCAUUACGAGUUUCUGGUAAUGUCGUUUGGGUUAACUCAUGCGCCAACCGCAUUUAUAGAUAUGAUGAACAGAGUGUUCAAACAAUAUUUGGACAAGUUCGUAGUAGGGUUCGUUGAUGAUAUUCUAGUCUAUUCUAAGACGUCAGAAGAUCAUGUAGAACAUUUAAGAAUAGUGUUGGAAACACUAAGGAAGGAGAAGUUGUAUGCGAAAUUCACAAAGUGUGAAUUUUGGCUUGAGCGAGUGCAGUUUCUAGGGCAUGUUAUCGAUAAGGAUGGCAUUUUCGUAGAUCCAACAAAAGUAGAAGCAGUUAAUGAAUGGGAGCAACCGAAAAUGCCAACUGAGGUUCGGAGUUUUCUAGGGUUAGCGGGAUACUAUAGAAGGUUCAUUCCGGACUUUCUAAAAUAACUACUCCAUUGACAAAUCUGACAAGAAAGUCGAUGAAGUAUGUGUGGACUGAAAAAUGUGAGAACAGUUUUCAAGAGUUGAAAAAGAGGUUGAGUGAGGCACCUGUAUUGUCCUUACCAGAUGAUACAGGGAACUUUGUAGUAUAUAGCGAUGCUUCACAUAAGGGACUGGGUGGCAUGCUCAUGUAACAUGGCAAAGUCAUUGCGUAUGCGUCACGUCAAUUGAUGGAUUAUGAAAAGGUCUAUCCUACUCAUGAUUUGGAAUUGGCAGCUGUAAUUUUUGCCUUAAAAAUAUGGAGGCAUUAUCUUUAUGGUGAGAAGUGUGAGAUAUACACGGACCAUAAAAGUCUGAAAUAUAUCUUUACAUAGAAGGAGUUGAACAUGAGACAGAGAAGGUGGUUAGAGUUAAUAAAGGAUUAUGACUGUGAUAUCUUAUAUCAUCUGGGGAAAGCAAAUGUAGUAGCCGAUGCGUUAAGUAGGAAGGGUAGAGAGAAACUGUCAAUGUGAACAACUCAGAAUGAGUUGAUAACAGCGAUGGCAAGCAUGGAGCUAGAAGUUAAGUUACCAGAAGAAGCGGGGGAAAUGUUAUUUUCCAUGGAAAUCCAACCGACCAUAGCGGAACUGGUUAGGGGAGUAAAAUUGAGUAACGAGGACUGCCAGCAGAUACAGAAGAGGAUAGAAGAUGAAAAGAAGACUAAGUAUAACCUCGAUAAGGAGGGAUUACUUCAUUUUGAAGGAAGAAUUUGGGUUCCGAAUGAUCCCGAAUUAAAGGAAGAAAUAAUGAUGGAGGCUCAUAGUUUGAGGUACUCGAUACAUCCCGGUAGUACGAAGAUGUAUCAAGACCUUCGUCAGAACUUUUGGUAGCUGAACAUGAAGAGGGAGAUAGCAGAAUACGUUAGUAGGUGCUUAACUUGUCAAAAAGUUAAGGCUGAACACCAACGACCUAGCGGGUUGUUGCAACCGUUAGAAAUUCUAGAGUGGAAGUGGGAGCACAUCACGAUGGACUUUGUGGUGGGACUUCCGACAACCAGAAAAGGAUAUGAUGCUAUUUGGGUGAUAGUGGAUCAAUUGACAAAAUCAGCUCAUUUUCUACCAAUAGGAGUCAAGUAUAACUUGGAUCAGUUAGCUAAGCUGUAUGUCAAGGAAAUUAUUUCCAGACACGGAGUACCUGUUUCGAUCGUGUGAGAUCGUGAUCCACGAUUCACAUCGAACUUUUGGAGGAGUUUGCAAGAGAAAAUGGGAACGCAAUUAAGAUUGAGUAUGGCGUAUCAUCCUCAGACGGAUGGUCGGAGUGAGAGGACAAUUCAAAUGCUAGAAGAUAUGUUAAGAUCUUGCGUUAUGGAUUUCAAAGGGAGUUGGGACGAAUAUCUGCCGUUGGUGGAAUUUUUGUACAACAAUAGUUUUCACGCUAGUAUAGGCAUGUUGCCUUACGAAGCGUUGUGUGGAAGGAAGUGCCGAACUCCGUUGUGUUGGGAUGAGGUGGGUGAACAUCGGAUGUUGCGACCUGAGAUGGUACAGCAGACGGCGGACAUGGUGAAAUUAAUACGUACUCGAUUAGUUGUUGCUCAAGAUAGGCAGAAGAAGUAUGCGAAUCCUCACAGAGAAAAUAGAGAAUUCGAUGUAGGAUCCUUUGUUUUUCUAAAAGUAUCGCCUUGGAAGGGGAAGAUACGUUUUGGGAAGAAAGGGAAGUUAAGUCCAAGGUUUGUAGGACCUUUUGAGAUUUUAAGAAGAGUAUGAGAGGUAGCCUAUGAAGUGGCUUUACCUCCUGAGAUGGAACGCAUUCAUAAUGUGUUUUAUGUGUCAGUGUUGCGUCCUUAUAAACCGGACUAUAAACACGUAAUAGAGUAUGAAUCUAUUCAGAUAGAGAAAGACUUGUCCUACGAGGAACUUUCAGUUCAAAUUAUUGAUAGGAAAGAACAAGUUUUAAGAAAUAAGGUAAUACCUUCCGUCAAGGUGUUAUGGAGAAACCACAAUGCUGAAGAAGCAACGUGGGAGCUCGAGAGUAAAAUGAAGGAAGAUUUUCCUCAUUUAUUUAUAUAAUUAUAAGCUAAGAUUCUGGGGACAGAAUCCUUAUAAGGGGGAGAGAAUGUAACGCCCGAGAAAAUCGGAUUUUUAUGACAAUUAAAUUAUUAUUUGAUUAUGUGAAUUAAAUGAAGUUAAUUGAUUGUUAUGUGAGUAAGCUAUGUGAAGGUCGUUCUAUGACCUUGAAUGUGCUAACGUGAUUAGUAUUCUGGCUUUGUGUUAGAAUUAUUUGUUUGGAAUUUCCAAGACGAAAAUAACUAUUUUCUAAAAAAUUUCCGUAGAAACACUAUUCAUCCGUUUCUGUUCGGGAAAUUAUUUUGAAAUUUCGAGAAACGUGUAAUGAUGGAAUAUCGUGAUAAGAUGGAAUAUCUGAUAAUAUUUCAUUUAUGACAAACACAAUUUUCGCCUGCAGACUUAAAACCUAAGGGUUGAGUAUAUUGAUUUCUGAGAAGGAAAUAAUAUGCGUAGAAGGAAUUGUGUUAAGGUUAAUGCAAGUAAAUACAAAGUACAAUACGACUAUUGUACGUGUAGUAUACGGAAAGAAUACAUGAAUUGUACGUGUAGAAUACGAUUCGUAUUAUAGAAUUAAGAUUAAGUCUUAAUGAAUAAGUCAUUUGAGUUGGAUUUCUAUUAGUCCAAUUAUUAAAUGACCAAGCCCAAGGAGAUUAGUGAGUUGAGCCCAAGUCAAGGCCCAAUGUUUAUUUAGUUAAGCCCAAUUCAUUUAAACCGAACGGUGGAUCGAUCCGGUGGAUCACCGAAUGGGUAAAACCCAUGGGGCAACCCAUGGAAUGUCACUUUGCAAGUGAUGGGCCGACUACUUGGAGUGGAAUCCAAGCAUAAGGCUUGGUGACCAAGAGUGAAUAGUAAGGAGGUGAUGGUUCAUUGUCCAAAUUACCCUCCAUUCUUAUUUCCUAUAAAUAGAAAUCUAGGUUGAUUCAUUUUGGAAUUUUGAAAUUUUCCAACCUAGAUUAUUUGAGAGAGAAAGAGAGAUAGACUUAUAAAACAUACACUUUGGAAGCUUGAUCUUCUAGUUUUCCAAGAGAGUUUCACAAGGAUUCUUAAGGUAUAAUCCUUACCUUUCAUCUCCAUCUCUUUUUGAUUUUUCUUUUAUCUUGAAGAAUCAUAGAUGGGUAGUAUAUGUCUUGUAUAGGAGAUUAAUGAUGGCUUAUCAUAAAUUCAAUCUCUACAAGUCAUGAGAUUAUAUAAAUCAUAAGGUUUAAUACAGUUUUGAACCAUGAAAAUAUUGUUUGUUGAGAUUGAUCGUUUAUAAAUGAUUGAACUCCAUUAAUACGUUAAUAUUUGCAUCUUUUUUGGUUAGGAUGUAGAUAUGAAAUCCAUGCAGUAUUCUAUGUGAUUUUGCUUAGAGAACCCUAGUAACGAAGUUAUGGCGAAUUUUAUGUAAUUAGACGUUAAACGUCGAAAACGUUGAAAUCUGGAUUAGAGGUUAAAAGUUACUAUGAGACUUGAAAACAUUGGUUUUCAAUGUCAACACGUGAGAUAGGGUGAUUAAGAGUUGUGGGUUUGAGAAUCGUCGGAUUCUGACUUAAAACGAAGAAAACGAGCAUUGAACGCUCUUUAACGUUUACGAACGUCUAAAAAUGAACUCAAUAGUGAAUUUUGAGUUAUCGGAUUCGAAAGUGUCAAAUUCUUAUAUGAAUGCGUAGAUUAUGUUAUUUAGGACGUUUAGGCUUUUGAACAGACAAAAUUGGGCUUAUAACGAAGAAGUUAUGGCCCCGGGAAUUUCACAAAGUUUUUCAAAAUUUGUUGGAAUCUGGUACUGAGGUCUGGCGCCGCGGCGCCAGACAUAGUGUUAAAUGUCGUGCCGCAGCACCGACACAGUAAACUUGAGUACUACUAAAUGGUGCUGCAGUGCCACUGUUCCGCGUCACAGCGCUGCGAUCGAGGCCCAGACACUGCUAACUGGCACCGCAGCGCCAGUCUAGUACUACAUAGGCCGCGCCGCAGCGCGAGUUCAAGAAUGUUGUUAGUGACUUAGGUUUUGAACUUCAUUUGUUCAUGAACCUAAAGGGGUAAUGUUUGUACACUUCAUAAGUGUAUUAAAGCUAUUCCUAUACUACCUAUACUAAGGUAUAUGGUAUUGAACUUAGGAGCUGAAUGCAUGUUAAUGAGUUAUGAGUGAUGAACAACGUUGGUACUUCGCCGACAAUGUUAGAGUCCGGUUAAUAACUAAGUUGGUUAAUAAGCCGGGAUGAAGGGUAAAAAGUCGAGUUGACUUUAUUAUUGAUAUUAAGUUAACUAAGACAUAGAAGAGAAAGAAGCUUGUAGAAACAAUGUGAACAGUUGUUUGAUAGCUAAUUAAAGUGUGCUAUGUGAAUAUAUCAUAUAGAUUCUGUAAAGGUUGUGGUCAGUCGAUUAAAUUAUUUGAAGACGCUGAAAGGCAAGUUUUCUUAACGCUUGUCUAACUUCCAUGUUAGCCAAGUUUUAUGUGAUUCAUUGAACUGGAUUGCAAGACUUGUUUUAAAGAAAGGGUCGAUGCCAGAUUUUAAUUUGGCUAGGCUAUUCGUAAUAUAUAGAUUGAUUAUGAUUCAUAUCUUUCUAUAUAGAAAUGUUAACGCUAUCAUAUGCCAAAUGAUUGGUAUGGAUGUGAAGGUAAGGUUUGUCUAUGAACAAACAAAAGUAUUUUUCAUCGAUUAUUCGAUGGGCACACGAGUUUGCCAAAAAAUAUUAAACGUAAAUACGUUUAAUGAAUGAGUGUUGAUCAACAUAGAGUACUAUAGGUUGAUCACCUAGAAGUGCUCGUAAGUUAUCGGAUGAACGGCCUUAGUGCUGUGGACUCCUUUUCAAGUUUGAAAAUUGAAAGUUACUGUUCAUGGUCUAUCGACCGGUUCAGAAUUCCUAAUCUAUUCUAUACUUUGGGAAUUGAUGUUAUGAAGUAUUAAAGUAUUAUUGAUUCAUAAUACUUCAUAACUAUUGUUCGGUUAUGUCAAAAUUGUUAUAUAAUUCACGAAUGUGGUAUUACUGUUAUCAUUGAUUAAACUUGCUGAGCUGUCAUGCUCACUUCUUGCAUGAAUUAUAUAACUGCAGUUAAGGAUGAACAUACUAUGAAUGCCAAGAGAGAUAAGGGCAAAGCUAAGAUGGAUGCUUAGACAUUGUGUAAUAGUUUAGUAAGUUUGUAUGUAUUAUACAUUAUGAACAAUGAACGAUGUAACCGGUUUAUGAACCUGGGAAGGAUUUAUACUUUGAUUGUAAUAAGAAGAUAGUAAUUACAUUCAUUUUGUUGUAUUUCAAUGAAAUGAUUGUAUGGAUGUUAGUACAGUGUAGCACCAUAUGUCGGAUUGAAAGAUACCCGAAUUUGGGGGCGUCACGAUGGUUAAUUGAUACUCUUUAGGUAAUUCAGCACUAUAUAACUAAUAAUCCUUGAUUAGUUCAAGAUCCAUUAUGAUCACUCAGCAUGAAAUCUAGGAAUACCCCACUUUAUUAUUGUAGUAUUAUUAUCUCUUGUUAAUCAAUUGAACAUUAUCGAAACUUCGAAAGAGUUUCACUCUUUCAUCAUUGAAUUGUUGUUUAGCAUGAAAUUCGAUAAAGUCUUGUUAAAAUAAAUUAUUUAUUCAGCUACUUCAAAAUCCAUUGAAUAUUAUUGAAUUCUUAUCAAAUUUAGACUAUAAUAUUCUUGAUUCAUAUUUCUAAUUGUAUGCUUUAACUUGCGGAGCAAACUCGUUGCUCACCCUUGCUUAAAAAUAAUAUUUCAGCAAAUGAAGAGAUAACUGGAGGGGUAGAUAAAGACGAGGGCAAGGACAAAACUCAGGAGUAGUUAUUAUAACUUUACUUAUUAUGUUGUUAUAUAUAAACCUUUUUGUAUGUAUGAAGGUAUGUAUAUUAUGUUAAGGUUAGAUAACCUGGGAUAUUGUAUUAAUUAUAUUAAUUAAUGGUAUGUAUGAUGAUAUUCAUAAAUGAAUGAGUAUUUAGAUGUUAUUUAUAUGAUGAAUCGUGAGCACCAAACAUGGGGUUAGGUAACCCCGAAUUAGGGGGCGUCACAACUAGCCCAGUAAAGAAUAUUAUGACUAAGAUAAUGUAGAAUAAAUAAUCCUUAGUACUCAAUAGUGUAAAAUCUGAUAGAAUACAAUAGACAACAAGUUUAGAUCAACAACUAUAGCAGAACAAGCAAUCUAUUAGAAGAGUAAAGUAGAGCAUGAUGUCUACUAUCUUCUAAGAUUUAAAAGUUCAUCAUUAAUAUUUUAUCUCUAUAACACAACUCAAUAAAUAUUUCACAUCAGCGAAUUAUCCAUGCACUACGCGCCAAGGAUAUUCGUUAGUAUCACCAGUGGUCAUGAUCCUGCCAAACAUCUAUCCAUCUAUGCACUAUGGGUCAAAGAGGACUUUCACCACAUCAUUUGUCUGUAACAUUACAGGUUAUAAUUAUACAAGUACACAAUUUCUGGUCAUAAUCAUACCAAUCAAUAGUCCAUCUAUGCACUACGGGCCAAAGAUGACUUUCACCACAAUAUAAGCAUGAGGAAGAUGACAAUGAUAUAAGAAAUCAAUCAAGUGAGAUCAAGGAUAAAUAUUAAAGAUUUAUAAUUCAAUUUAUCCAGAGUUUAAGAUUUUCCAAAUUGUCAGCAUGAUAAUUAAUUGUGGAGUAAAAUUUUAGAAUGAUAUUCAUGUAUCAAAAAUAAUUUGGAGAGAAAAAAAAAACCAAUUUUGUUGUGAAAAGUACCCCAUGAAUAGUGCCCCGGGUGAAUAGUAUCCCGUGAAUAAUAACCGAAUGAAUAGUACCCUGUGAAUAGUACCCCAACACGAAAAGAUUAAAAUUUAACAAGAAAUUUCAGAAAAAUAUUUUAGUGAAAUGAUACUAGAUGAAGCGCAAAAUUCAAGGAUAUUCUACUAAUUUCAGGAAGUAUAGAAGCAAUACUUAUCAAAAUAAGUGUAGAUUUAGGAAUAUGAAAUAAAAUAAUAUUACUUACAUACUAUAGAGUAUGGAAGAAAAUAAUAUUUCUUACGAAUAUUGAACGAAAAUAAUAUCCCUUACCUUAGUAAGAGAGUAAUUCCGACUGGUAUAGCGGAGAUAUUCUUGAAGAAAACUUGCAUUAUUUGCUAUACUCAAAAUAUCCUUAUGCUCAAAAGAAAUACACCCAAUAUUAUAGAAGAAGAAUUUUAUGCUUCUAGUGUGAUUUUCAUUUCUUAACUAAGCAUCCUAUUUAUAGGAGAAUGGCAGGGUACUAUUUAAAAAUAAUCACGGACGCACAGUAAAGGAAAAAUCACAGGCGCAAUCGGCUGAAUUUUUUGAUUUUUACUAUUUAUUACUGUGCAAUAAAAUAUUCUAAUAGAACAAAAACUUUAUAUAAAAUAUAAUAUAUUCUAUUUAUAAUCUAAUAUAAUGAAUAACUUUAUAUAUAAUAUAAAAAGUAUUAAGUUUUAUAUAAAAAGUUUUUAAUUUUAUUACUAUUAUAAUAAUAAUAAAAUAAAACUGAGAUAACUUUCUACCGUCGAUUUUAAAAAAAUGAGUAAGUGGGGGUCCAUGUAAUAAGCCAAACUUACAACAAAUAUUUCAUGAUAAACCCCUUUAUUUAUAUCAAAAAUUAAAUAAUUAUUUACCACAAAUCACUCAUCUUCAAUCAACACAUUUUUAAUCUUUCAACAAUUAUUCAUCAUUAAUAUUAUAACUCACAAUAUUAAUAACCAGAUCAUUCUCAGGAAAGAGGGGGCUUUCCGAUAAGGACUUCUUCAUAUUGGCGCGUAAUUAAAUAACCUAACUCAUUUCCUCGACAGAAUUUUCUAGACAUUGUCAAUAAUGCAAAUAAUAAUAUGAAUAAUUGUGUUGUCUUAAUUAUUGAUUUAAUAAUAUAAAAUAUUGUGCAGAUGAUACUCUGAUAAUAAUUGAAUCAAUAAUAUGAGAUACUAUGUAACAACUAUUGUGGCAAUAAUUGAAUAAAAUUGAGUGACUUCUUAAGUAAGCAUCAAUAAUCAGAUAUACUGUACAAUAACGUAUGCAACCAUGCAUAUUACUGUACUUUUAUCACCGGGUAUUUCAACAGUUAACGGUAAAAGUUUUGCCGUUAUUUUUAUAAAACGGUUAUUUCUGUCGCUUUCUGUAUCUGACAGUUAUUUCGUUAUGUGGGGUCCAGCAAUGACUUUGCCGUCAUACAGAUAUUCCUCGACCAAACGAAAAUUUUAUGACAACUUGCUUACUUGCAAAAUUUGCACAUAUUACUCAUAACUAUAGCAUUAUAUCAAAUCUACGCCUUAUUAUUCACAAUAACAUUUAGAGAAAAUUAAAUAUUUAUUCAUAUAAUGUUGGGAUUUUACAGGUAUGGGAUUUCAGAAAUUAAAAAUAAUCUGCAGAUGGUGCUUUAUCCAUGACCAUCUCUUAAAAUCGAAACCAAGCACCACAAAACCCACUAAAUCACCCCACAUAAGCCCAAUCUCUACCAAAUCUGUCCUUUAUAUCAUUCCUAUAUAUAUCAAACCCCAAUUUCUUCCAUUCCACACCACAUAGACAUUAAAUCCUCACAUUAUCAAACAUAAAACCUAGGGUUUUCUCAUUAAUUUUGGUUUUCAAGCAAAGAAUGAGGGGGAAGCUCUGAAAUUGGUAGUUCAUCACUUCAAUCUCAUUACAGAGUGAAGAAAUCAGUGUGGGUAAGCAUCUAACCAGAUUUUCAUCAUAUUUGGCAAUUACUCUUCAAUUUGGGACAUUUUGGGUUAUUGUGCACUCCAAGUGUUUGAAGAAUUGCACAAGUGAAAAGUUUGGGGGAUUUAUUAACUGCAUUAUGAUACAAUGGCACUGAAAACACCAGUUAAACGUCAAUAGGGUGAAGGGUCCUCACCACCAACUCGCAUUUAUGAUAAACAAAAAUUUGUCAGUGCCUUAGCGGCUGAGAAAUACGAGUACUUUGCACCAAAGGCGUUGACACCAGAGAGAGGUUUGAGGUUAGAUUCAUUCGAUGGGUAGAUAAGGAGACAAAUCAAUGAACAAGGUUGGGACACAUUCACGGAUCAGCCAUAUCUUGCAGUUUGAGAGUGGUGAAAGAGUUCUACGCAAAUACAGAUGAAAAAGCUCCAUUUGUUGCAUUUGUUCUUGGCAAAAAAGUUCUAUUCGAUCCGGAGGCUAUCAAUGAGUUUUAUAAUGUGCGAGCCCCAACUAUUUGUUAAUAUGCUCAACUUUGAGAUAACAACCCCACUUAUAAUCAGAUACUCACUGAAAUAUUAAAGCCGGGAACCACAUGGGUGAAAGGGAAGAAAGGAGGAACCCUUUUCAUGAGUAAGGACCUAAGUCGGUAUGGAAAGAUUUGGUAUGCCUUCCUUUGCGCAAAACUGUUUCCAUCCACACACACCAGUGAGGUGACCAAAGAAAAGAUGUUACUCAUGCAUGCCAUUGUGAAGGAUUUUGAUAUUGACAUUGGGACCAUCAUUAAUUUCUCGAUCAGAUGCUACUUGCGCGGGCUAUUCUCGUGAGGUUACCACACCCUUCCCUUAUAUGUGGACUGUGUUGACAGUUAGGAGUUCGAUGGUCAGUGGAUGAACCCGUGUAGCAACCACUCCAGUUACUUAAAUCACAUAUUAUUACUCGAUACUCAGUUUGCGCUGGAGGAGAGUCACAUCCUAGAGGGCUAGGAUUUAUAUUUCCUGAUGCUCUUAAAGAGGAGAAGGCCGAAGAUACCUCUGAGGAUGAUGAAUUUAAAGUUGAUGAGAUGUCUGAGGGUAUUGAGGAGACCGCAAGGGGUCAUCGGUCUACAAAGUAUAUGCUCAGCACUCAGUUCCAAAGCAUGCAUCGACAUAUUAAUGAGAGGGACAGAUAGGAGGAUAGGAAGUUGAUGAGAAUAGCAACACGACAAGAUCAUGCCUUUGUCACACAAAACGCUUUCAAUGCUUCUUUGGCAGAGGCGUUUGCAAGAAUAAAUCCCAACGCUGCUGACCAGUUUUAGUUCCCAGUUCCACAACCACUACCAGGCUAUCCACCAUCAGACUCUGACAUUGAGGAGGUUCCACCUCCUGCCUAUCUACUACAGGGAAGUCCUUUUAUGCCUUCAUGCUUUAUUUUAACAAUGAGGACAUUAUUUCUGAUAAGUUUGGGGGAGUAGUAGUGUAGUAGUAUUAGUUUUUAUCUAGUGUUGUUUAGUUCUAUUGAAUAUGUCAUUUUGCACAUGUUAGUUAGUUAGUUAGUUUUGUUUUUGUUAGUUUAUAUUAGUUCAUGUUUGCAUUACAUGUUAGUUGCAUCAUUAGUAUAGUGUAGUUAUAUUUUUUAUGUUUUUGUAGAUUAGUUGUGUAAAUACUAGUUUUCUUUUUCUACUUGAGUUAAAAAAAUCAAAAAUCUCAAAAAUAUUAGUUAGUUUAUUGUUUUUGUGUUACAUUUAGUUUAUAUGUGCAUGAUUCCAGCUUUUAGAUGGUUAAAGUUUUUUUGGGCCAAUGAUGAGAUUAGAAUUGUAUAAACAAGAAUAGUAUUGACUGUCAAGGCUUUGAUGUAAUUUCUUAUCAUGAUCUAAAUCUUUGUUUGUUUGAAACCGGUAUAAUCAGGUAAGCACUAUAAAAUGACUAUAUUGACUGAUUGGGUUUAAAUUUACACACAAUUGAUUUCUUAAGGAUAGUGCUAGUUUGAAUGAAAGAAAGUAAUGAAUAAGCGGUGAUGACUAAGUUUAGACAAAAGCUUAAGUUUAGGGGAAUUUGAUGAGUGGGUUUCAUACAUAUGAAUCAGAUGCCUAUUCGGACUUAAACAAUGCCUAAUCCAUUUAUUUUAGUAUGUUUUAAUGUGUUUGUGCUUGUUUUAUGUGCAGGUUUUAGUAUGUGUUAGCUAAGGCAUGAUGGUGGAAAUAUGGCAAGAAAGUGAAGUUAUGUAGCAGAAAUCAGUAAAGUAUAGGACAGUACCCCGCCGGGGCAGGGGUGUACACGUGUCAGAGACUUAACACCCCGCUGGGGCGGGGGUUCUUAAGCCUAAAUAGCCCGCUGGGAUGGGGGUACGUGGACAAGAAAGAGGAGUUCGGAUGCUAUUCUAAUACUGUUGUGGCAUGGAUUGGUGGACUUUGGAAGCGAUUGGGACUUAGCAGAGGACGUAUUUAGCUGUAAUUACAGAGAAUUAUGUAAAUAUAUUCUUACAUUCAUCAAUCAAUCCAUCAAGAGCAACUUACAAACCCUAAUUUGUGAAGAUCUUGGAGGAACGGAGCAAAGAAGCAAGGAACAUGAAAAUUACAAAAUUGAGUGAAGAGAAGGGUGGUUCUAUUACUAUUAUUGUUUUUUUAAUUUCAGUUUCUGUAAUUGGGAUGUUGUUUUCCUUAAUCUAUUCAGUGUUUAUUUCAUUAGCUAUGAACUAAUUAAACUUAUUAAGCUUACAAUAGAUCUUUAAGUGUAACGAUGAUUAUCAUGCUUUGAUUCUAAUUCUAUGAAGCUAUUUUUUAGUUAAUCUAUUAUGAUUUGUGCGUAAUUUAUGAAUUCACCAAUUCUAUGUGGACUUGUAUGGAUUCGAGAGAUGAGAUAUAAGUUUUGACUUAGUUAUAAUAGUAUGUGUUUAUGAUUUCUGCGUUUUGAUAGAAUUCAUGAUGUAUGAUUAGGAUAGAGAUAUACCUAUG
rnacentral:lncRNA from 1 species